rnacentral:rRNA from 1 species
AACGAACGCUGGCGGCGUGCCUAACACAUGCAAGUCGUGCGAGAAAGUUCCUUCGGGAGCGAGUAAAGCGGCGCACGGGUGAGUAACACGUAGGUAACCUGCCCCCCAGUCUGGAACAACUAGAGGAAACUCUAGCUAAUGCCGGAUGAGACCACGAUCCCUUCGGGGGUUGCGGCCAAAGAUGGCCUCUACUUGUAAGCUAUCGCUGAGGGAUGGGCCUGCGGGCCAUUAGCUUGUGGUGAGGUAACGGCUCACCAAGGCUGUGAUGGCUAGUUGGUCUGAGAGGAUGACCAGCCACACUGGGACUGAGACACGGCCCAGACUCCUACGGGAGGCAGCAGUGGGGAAUAUUGCGCAAUGGGCGAAAGCCUGACGCAGCGACGCCGCGUGGGUGAUGAAGGCC